rnacentral:tRNA from 1 species
GGGGCCGUAGCUCAGUCUGGGAGAGCGCUACCUUGGCAUGGUAGAGGUCGUGGGUUCAAGUCCCAUCGGCUCCACCA